GCGGCAGGCUUACACAUGCAAGUCGAGCGGUAACAUUUCUAGCUUGCUAGAAGAUGACGAGCGGCGGACGGGUGAGUAACGCGUAGGAAUCUGCCUAGUAGUGGGGGACAACAUGUGGAAACGCAUGCUAAUACCGCAUACGCCCUACGGGGGAAAGGAGGGGAUCUUCGGACCUUUCGCUAUUAGAUGAGCCUGCGUGAGAUUAGCUAGUUGGUGGGGUAAAGGCCUACCAAGGCGACGAUCUCUAGCUGGUCUGAGAGGAUGAUCAGCCACACUGGGACUGAGACACGGCCCAGACUCCUACGGGAGGCAGCAGUGGGGAAUAUUGGACAAUGGGCGCAAGCCUGAUCCAGCCAUGCCGCGUGUGUGAAGAAGGCCUUAGGGUUGUAAAGCACUUUCAGGAGUGAGGAAGGGCGUAUAGUUAAUACCUGUAUGUCUUGACGUUAACUCCA
rnacentral:rRNA from 1 species